rnacentral:misc_RNA from 1 species
AAAUAAUCUGCAGCCCGACUUGAACGGAGCUCUUUUUUCUUGGUGGCUGAGCCUGUCGAAGCCAGCAAUAAAAAAAGCGGGAGUGGAAGGCGGAAAUGUCU